rnacentral:misc_RNA from 1 species
GGAAUGUCCAGGCGAUGGAGAAAUUGGGUUGUGCUGGCUGUGGAGGUUGAGGUUGAGGUUGUGGUUGUGGUGCGGCUUGUGGUUGUGGGACUGGCCUUGUUCUUGGGCGCUGGGGCGAUGGCUGAGGUGGUGAGGGUGAAGAGUCUCCUCCUUGCCUUGAGGAAGAGCCCAUUCUUCUUGCUGGUCUCUUAGCAAGUGCCAUUGGUGAUUUUGGGAGGAGAAAAGGCUAGGGUUUUGUGAGGGAAGAGGAGAUUUGAGAGGUC